GAAUUACUCCAGAGUUAUGAAAUGAGUUUUGUCAUUAGUCUACAUUUAAUAAUUCUAAUUAGUGUUAAACAUCCGAUGUUAUUGGGACUGAGUUUAUACAUAUAUCACGCACAAGAUCGACCACGCAAACCGUGUCCGUGAAAUGCAACACACGCUGCUCAUUGACUUUUUUUUUUAAAUUGACGAUUGGUAAAGAAACUCGAUUUUUUUCCGCUUGCGCAGUGGCAUUUGGGCCCAAAGGCCCAAGACACACACACUCUCUCUCCCCCUCGUCGUACCACUCGCCACGCCGCCGUUGCAGGAGAAACCCUCGCCGCCGCCGCCGCCGCCCUCUUCUCCGCCGGUAGCCGCUCGCGCUUCUCGGCGACAUGGCGAGAGAGAAAUCCAAGAAGGAGGAGGAGGGAUCCAGUGCGACGAGGAAUCCGGCGGCCGAGCUCACCGAAGACCUCAUCGUCGACAUCCUCUCCCGCCUCCCCGUCAAGUCGGUCUGCCGAUGCAAGUGCGUGUCCAGGCGGUGGCGCGGCCUCAUCUCCGACCCCGACCACCGCAAGAAGCUCCCCCAAACCCUCGCCGGCUUCUUCUACAGCAGCGAGAACGAAUCGAGCUUCCCCGAUGAAGAAACAUUUCCAAUUGUCAUUUGUGAAACAUUGGUUGGCUACCUGUUGUAUCGAAUGAUUAAUGCUGGUGUUUAUUAGCUAUCCACUGUAGGCAUGUAAAAAUUCAGGAUGUUAAUCAGUGCUUAUGUUUCUUACAAUUUGACCUGUUUCAAUUCUGAUAACAUUACACCCUUGCGCUCUUGUACAUUAUCAGGUUUGAUGCUUGCUAAAAUCAUGUGAAUAUACGGUGAAAAUGCAUGAGUUUUCAUAUUGAAGAAUUCAGAGGACGUGGCAAUAGGCUUAUGUGACUUUAUGAUGAAAUGCAUGAGUUCUUAGAUAGAUAGAAGAAAUUAUGAGAAAAUUUCAUGUUUAUACCUUGAGAAACUUGAUGCAUUUGCACUAUGUGCUUUUUAUUUGUACCAUCAGGUUGCACUUGGGCGGUUGAGCCUGAAGCAGAGCAACAACAAUGCAUUCUCAGAAGGAACCGAAGAACACUUGGCUGCAGUCAGACAUCUUCUCAGGAAGGAGAAAGUGGUGAAUCUAUCAUCUGUGAGGAUGAAUAUUUCGCUGCAGCUUGAUAUGGUCAUAUGGCUUCUUGCUGAACUGAAGGAUGUGGAGGCAGGCAGGGAGAGGGAUUUCUGUUGGUUUAAUCGUGCUCCUCCAAACACCUUCUCUACUGGAGAUUCUGAUUCACCGAGCAUUUCCUUAACAAGCGAAAUGAAAAAACUUAGUUUUGACUGCCAAUCGUAUCUCAGCUUUUUGUACCAGGUCCUAUUUGAAUUGAAAUUUCAGAUAUGUUUUUGCAGGUUGUGCUCGACGAGCUGGUAAUUAAUAAAUCAAAGUUAUUUCAGCGAACUCGAUUACUGACAAAGAAAUGCUCUUCAGAUCACAAUCAAAUUCAGUAUGUGUGCCACGUGAGUAUCUCAACUCCUCACACCUAUUCCUCUCCAUUCAGUAUCAAAGCUAUCUCUCGUUAAAAAGUUCUCAUCUUAUCUCUCUCUCUCUCUCUAUUCUUAUAUCCAUCGGAUCGAACUGGAUCAUGUGUUGUUAAUGAGCCUUAGGUCCGUUCAUUAGCAUAUAAUUAGUUUUUUUUAUCUGAGCAUAUAAUUAGUUGAGUAUUAACUAUUGCAACAUCGAACAAGAGUUUAUUUAAUUUUUAAAGAAACUUUUAUAUAGAAAAAAUAUUAAAAACACACCGUUUAGCUUUAAUUUUCGGAAAGCGCACUAAGAAAGUAAAACCUAACCCCUAUAUGCACAUUCGAACUCAACCUUGUAGAUUGUCGUGGUAGACCCAGAUAAAAUUUAGAAUAUUGACAAACCUAAGUAUUUGAUAUAAAAUUUUAUUUUAAAUAUUCUUUUUCUUUGAAACACAGUACAAACAUAGGCUCGUAAAACGCACACUCAUCCCAACAUAGAAUUUUAAUUUCCAAAAAUAACUUCACAACUAUUUUAUAUUAUAAGACAGAAGUAGUAUGAAUAUUUAGUGUCUACUCAUACUUGCAGUAGUACUGUGAGACUCUGGGUGUGUUUAGUUCGUCAAAAGAAAAUUUUUGGGUGUCACAUCGGACGUUUGACCGGAUGUCGGAAGGGGUUUUCGGACACGAAUGAAAAAACUAAUUUCAUAACUUGCUUGGAAACCGCAAGACGAAUUUAUUAAGCCUAAUUAAUCAGUCAUUAGCACGUAUAGGUUACUAUAGCACUUAUGGCUAAUCAUGGACUAAUUAGGCUCAAAAGAUUCGUCUCGCGAUUUCCAUACAAAUUGUGCAAUUAGUUUGAGUAAAUUGCAUUGGUGGUACACAAACUUGUUAGCUGGGUGCGAUUUAAUACAUAAAUUUGUAAAAUGCUCGUUUCAGUACAUGAACUUGUCUAGUUCGUGCGAACGAGGACCAAAAUAACUUGGUAAUGUUAAUUUUACGAAGCUGAUUAGGAUGUGACGUGCAUACGUGUAGUGAGUAUGCAUAAGAUAUGCAAUAUUUAUAAAUUUGGUCUCUACUUUAUCCUUCAUCAUGGAAAUGAUGAAUUUCAUAUAUUUCUAACCCUCAUAUCAUUGCUAAGUUUUUUCUUUAUCUUUUUUCUACUAUCACUACAUCCAAUUAUUAUUUUAUCAGAGAGGUGUAUGUCUAAUAGCAACCUUCUCAGAUAUGUAUUUACGUAGUAUUCUAAUCAGCCCCUAAAUCAAUAAGAUUAGCCAUGUAGUGUUCUUUUCGCCUUUCUCCGCACGCAUCAGACAAGUUUAUGCACUAAAAUGAGCAUUUUACAUGUUCGUAUACUGGAUUGCACCCACCUGACAAGUUUGUGUACCGGCAAUACAAUUUACUCAAUUAGUUUCUUUAUCUAUAUUUAAUAAUCUAGAGUAUACAUAUAUUCAAAGAGUGUACAUAUAUUCAAAGAUUCGAUGUGACGUUUUUGGAAAAAAAAAUAUUGGGAUCUAAACAAGGCCUCUGGAUGGCUUUGCCUCACUGUCUGAAAGUGCUGGACCUACAGUACACAUAGCAACCGACAAAGCCGUACCUUGUCCGUGCAUGCAUGCAACCGACAAGCAGGAUGGAUGUAUAUGCUAGGGGGACACCAAACAUGAAUGAACUCAUCACACAAUUGGCACCAAGUUGGAUGGAUCACCAUGGAUGUGACUCCCUCCGACGAUAUUUCUAGCGUGUUUUGUGGCCUAGGAUAUCCGAGUGGUCAUGGUUUCAUCAACCUAGUUGCAGAGGAUGAUAUCGUGGUUGUUGAGAUAAAUAUAUGGUGGGUUUGGGAUGAUUACAACCGCUCUGAGUAUAUACUUCCUCCGUUUCACAAUGUAAAUCAUUCUAACAUUUCUCACAUACAUAUUGAUGUUAAUGAAUCUAGAUAGAUAGAUAGAUAUAUAUGUCUAGAUUCAUUAACAUCAAUACGAAUGUAGGAAAUACUAGAAUGACUUAUAUUGUGAAACGGAGGGAGUAUAUAGGUUGAGGGCGUGAGGCACGCUAACGUUUUGUUAUGAUUGUUUGUUUUGUAUUGGAGAUACACUAUCUAUAGCGAGAUUGUUUGCUCCAUACGUAAAAUACGCAGAUUCGUUCGUAAGAAAGUGAUGUGAAAUGUGAUACUCAUUGAAUUCUAGAGAAGCUAUAUAUAUAUAUAGGAUUCUACUAAUAACGUUUGCAUGUAUGAAAGAACUAUUGUAUUCGAUUAACUUGUUACAUAUUCAAUGAAUAUGGAUUUAUAAAGAUAUAUAGUUGUUGGCAUUAUCUUAAAAUCACAUCGAACUAUAGUUACUUAUUAGAUGUUUGUAUGGAACUUCUCCAUUCAACUAAUCUAGAUUCCUUUUUAGAUAAAUAUCAAUUUACAUAAUUUUCCACAUAUAUAUGACUAUGAAAUAUCUCCAUCGAUUUCUGUCGUCUAGAUCAUUUUCUUUCACGGAGGAGUUAUUUUCUUUCACGCUUCUUCUUGUUCCAAUUUACCGAGUCACUUGUCUCCACACAUCAUUUUCAUUCAGAUAAGAACGUACUGUACGUACAUCCACGAAAUGCCGCGUAGGCAGCGUAUAUACAUGCGCUAGACUGAUAGUGUGACGAUUAGCUAGGAAAAGUGCGUUUACAAUGCGUGAAUUAAGGCUGAGAGAUAUUUCUAAUUAAUCCAGAUGGGAACAAUAAUCGACUUGGCUUUCAGUGGUGAUGUCGCAACACUGAAAAAGUAUAUGUCGGAAAAAGUCUGUUGAUCUUUUCCCCGAAUUUUGUUAAAGUUCGUGAAAUCACUGUGGAAUUAAUUCAAACCAUGGCCCCUGCUCUCGCCUCCCCCUGUCUCCACUUGCUUAUAAGUAGAAAAUCUCAAAAUUCACAUAGAUAUGAGAAAAAUUUCCAUCAAAAUUUCCAAACAUACUCUUACACUAACAAAAUAUAUCGAUUGAAAAUUAAGACAUGACUCAUUCUGCUUAAUUUAUUCUUUACUUAUAACAAAGGGGAUUACAUUGCCCAACACCAUAGUACUCAUGUACAAACUCCCAGUGAGCCCAAUCGCAUAACCUGACAACUGAUCUAGCAAACCACAACCGUUCAUUGCAUUUAGCGAUGAAAGAGAGCUGACCACUAACCCACAUACAUGCUAUUUAAGUGGACCAACCCACCAACCACGUACUCCAUCCUUGCUAUAAAAAACAAACCUAGAAUCAGAUAUGACAUAUUAUAGUACUGUGAAUCUGGACAUAUAUAUGUCUAGAUUCGUAGUAUGAAGGUGUGUCACAUCCGAUCCUAGAUUGGUUUUUUUACGAGAGAAGGGAGUAGUAAAUAACCUAUUUUGGUGAGUUUGUACAUCAGCCUACUUGCAUCCCUAAUUGCAUUGCAGCCACACAAGCAUGUACACAAUCUCUCCUGCCUUUAGGCGCACGAGAUGUGUGCCUCCUCGCCGACGUGGAUCGCCUUCGUCGACGAUGGCACG